GACGAACGCUGGCGGCGUGCCUAAUACAUGCAAGUCGAACGCAGUGGGGACGGGUGAGUAACACGUGGGUAACCUCCCAUCAGAGGGGAUAACACUUGGAAACAGGUGCUAAACCGAUACUGAUGGAUGGACCCGCGGUGCAUUAGCUAGUUGGUGAGGUAACGGCUUACCAAGGCCACGAUGCAUAGCCGAACUGAGAGGGUGAUCGGCCACAGUGGGACUGAGACCCGGCCCGUGAUCCUACGGGAGGCAGCAGUAGUGAAUCUUCGGCAAUGGACGAAAGUCUAGCCGAGCAACGCCGCGUGAGUGAAGAAGGUUUUCGGAUCGUAGAACUCUGUUGUUAGAGAAGCGGUAACUAACCAGAAAGGGACGGCUAACUACGUGCCAACAGGCGCGGUAAUUC
rnacentral:rRNA from 1 species